UACGGGAGGCAGCAGUGGGGAAUAUUGCACAAUGGGCGCAAGCCUGAUGCAGCCAUGCCGCGUGUAUGAAGAAGGCCUUCGGGUUGUAAAGUACUUUCAGUCGUGAGGAAGGUGUUAAGGUUAAUAACCUUAGCAAUUGACGUUAGCGACAGAAGAAGCACCGGCUAACUCCGUGCCAGCAGCCGCGGUAAUACGGAGGGUGCGAGCGUUAAUCGGAAUUACUGGGCGUAAAGGGCACGCAGGCGGUUAAUUAAGUUGGAUGUGAAAUCCCCGGGCUUAACCUGGGAACGGCAUUCAAGACUGGUUAGCUAGAGUCUUGUAGAGGGGGUAGAAUUCCAUGUGUAGCGGUGAAAUGCGUAGAGAUGUGGAGGAAUACCGGUGGCGAAGGCGGCCCCUGGACAAAGACUGACGCUCAUGUGCGAAAGCGUGGGGAGCAAACAGGGAUUAGAUACC
rnacentral:rRNA from 1 species